AGACUGCCGGUGACAAACCGGAGGAAGGUGGGGAUGACGUCAAGUCAGCAUGCCCCUUACGUCUUGGGCUACACACGUACUACAAUGCUCCGGACAAAGGGCAGCUACACAGCGAUGUGAUGCGAAUCUCAUAAUGUCGCU
rnacentral:rRNA from 1 species